ACGCUUCAAACUGUAACUCAAUGUGCAGUUAUUGUACUGAUUGGUUCCUUUGCUAAAGUGAGCAAACCUUACCUAUUUUGUGAUUGUCUAACAUUCUCUUUCUCGGUUUUCUCUUCUCAGGCAGUAGAAGAAAUGGAAAGGAUAAAAGGUAAUGUGAAACAUCCGGGCGCUGUAGCUGCAGGUGGAGCCGGUGCUGCAGGUGGAGCUCCAGUUGUUCCAGGAAACUCUCGCCCUCUUCCCCCCGAUGUCCCAGUGCCAGGACACUCUUAGCAGGCUCUGUGUGCUGCCAGUGAGCGUGUAUGUGUGUGAGUGUGUGAGUGUGUGUUCGCCUUGUUAUUAUUCCCCAUUUUCGUUCAAAUGUUCCUUUUGUCUUUUUUUUUUUUUACACCACUUGACGGAAAUAUGUCUAAA